UUUUGUGUUGCUGUUGCUUUUGCUAUGGGUCUUUUUCCCAUUCCGGUGUGUGAACGGAUUGGUACGGGCCCUUGCAUUAGAGCCACGGAAACAGCUCUGAAUUGGAAAAACUCUCCCUGAGUUCUGGGCAGGGGGAGAACCAGAAGUUAUUUUCUUCAGGACCGUGGAAUGUACCCCAGGGAGUCCCAAAAGUCAGACAGAAGAUGCUUCAGACCAGUAACUAUAGCCUGGUGCUCUCCCUGCAGUUUCUGUUGCUGUGCUAUGACCUGUUCGUCAAUUCCUUCUCGGAGCUACUACGAAUGGCUCCUGUUAUCCAGCUCGUGCUGUUCAUCAUCCAGGAUAUUGCAAUCCUCUUCAACAUCAUCAUAAUUUUCCUCAUGUUCUUCAACACCUUCGUCUUCCAGGCUGGCCU
rnacentral:lncRNA from 1 species